rnacentral:tRNA from 1 species
GGGAAUGUAGCUCAGUUGGUAGAGUGCUUGUCUGACAUGCGUGAGGUCCUGGGUUCAAUCCACAGCACUGCAU